rnacentral:tRNA from 1 species
GAUUAAAUGGCUGAAAAUUUAGGCGAUAGAUUGUAAAUUUAUUUAUGAAAAUUAAUUUUCUUUAAUCA